GAUGAACGCUGGCGGCGUGCCUAAUACAUGCAAGUCGAGCGAACAGACGAGGAGCUUGCUCCUCUGACGUUAGCGGCGGACGGGUGAGUAACACGUGGAUAACCUACCUAUAAGACUGGGAUAACUUCGGGAAACCGGAGCUAAUACCGGAUAAUAUAUUGAACCGCAUGGUUCAAUAGUGAAAGACGGUUUUGCUGUCACUUAUAGAUGGAUCCGCGCCGCAUUAGCUAGUUGGUAAGGUAACGGCUUACCAAGGCAACGAUGCGUAGCCGACCUGAGAGGGCGAUCGGCCACACUGGAACUGAGACACGGUCCAGACUCCUACGGGAGGCAGCAGUAGGGAAUCUUCCGCAAUGGGCGAAAGCCUGACGGAGCAACGCCGCGUGAGUGAUGAAGGUCUUCGGAUCGUAAAACUCUGUUAUUAGGGAAGAACAAAUGUGUAAGUAACUGUGCACGUCUUGACGGUACCUAAUCAGAAAGCCACGGCUAACUACGUG
rnacentral:rRNA from 1 species